rnacentral:lncRNA from 1 species
AUCAACACCAUAUAUAUCACAAAGUCUCACUAAUAUAAGUCUCACAAAUAUAAGUCAGGAUCAUCACAAAACAGAUAUAAGUCUGGAUCAUCACUAACAUCACCAAGUAUCUCACAAGACCAAGUCUAACUAACAUCACCAAAACUCACAAAUAUAAGUCUAGAUCAUCACAAAACAGAUCAUCAACGAGGUGGGCAUCUGGACUGGUUCGGCGAAGGGCUGGACGAAGCAUGAGGGUUGUUCGACGCCGCCGAUUGACCCUGCACAGAGAAGAGAUUGUAUGUGUGAGAACAUAUGAAUAUAUAUCAUGCAGUACUAAAAUUUUGAUACUCACAGGAGUAGUGAAAUCAGCAGGGUCAGCUG